rnacentral:ncRNA from 1 species
AUGAUCCGAGGAGACGCUGAUCCGCCGGGGCACGCGCGGUCACGAGAACCCGGCGGGGAGUCAAUCGUGAGACCGGCCUCUACGG